UGACCUCGGAUCAGGUAGGGAUACCCGCUGAACUUAAGCAUAUCAAUAAGCGGAGGAAAAGAAACCAACCGGGAUUGCCUCAGUAACGGCGAGUGAAGCGGCAAGAGCUCAAAUUUGAAAGCUGGCUCCUUCGGGGUCCGCAUUGUAAUUUGCAGAGGAUGCUUCGGGUGCGGCCCCUGUCUAAGUACCCUGGAACGGGUCGUCAGAGAGGGUGAGAAUCCCGUCUGGGAUAGGGUGUCCGCGCCCGUGUGAAGCUCCUUCGACGAGUCGAGUUGUUUGGGAAUGCAGCUCUAAAUGGGUGGUAAAUUUCAUCUAAAGCUAAAUACUGGCCGGAGACCGAUAGCGCACAAGUAGAGUGAUCGAAAGAUGAAAAGCACUUUGAAAAGAGAGUUAAAAAGCACGUGAAAUUGUUGAAAGGGAAGCGCUUGCGACCAGACUCGCCCCCGGGGUUCAGCCGGCAUUCGUGCCGGUGUACUUCCCCGGGGGCGGGCCAGCGUCGGUUUGGGCGGCCGGUCAAAGGCCCCUGGAAUGUAGUACCCUCCGGGGUACCUUAUAGCCAGGGGUGCAAUGCGGCCAGCCUGGACCGAGGAACGCGCUUCGGCACGGACGCUGGCAUAAUGGUCGCAAACGACCCGUCUUGAAACACGGACCAAGGAGUCUAACAUCUACGCGAGUGUUCGGGUGUCAAACCCGUACGCGCAGUGAAAGCGAACGGAGGUGGGAGCCCCCCCGCGGGGCGCACCAUCGACCGAUCCUGAUCUUCGGAUGGAUUUGAGUACGAGCGUAAAUGUGGGGACCCGAAAGAUGGUGAACUAUGCCUGAAUAGGGCGAAGCCAGAGGAAACUCUGGUGGAGGCUCGCAGCGGUUCUGACGUGCAAAUCGAUCGUCAAAUUUGGGUAUAGGGGCGAAAGACUAAUCGAACCAUCUAGUAGCUGGUUCCUGCCGAAGUUUCCCUCAGGAUAGCAGUAACGCGUUUCAGUUUUAUGAGGUAAAGCGAAUGAUUAGAGGCAUUGGGGUUGAAACAACCUUAACCUAUUCUCAAACUUUAAAUAUGUAAGAAGCCCUUGUUUCUUAAUUGAACGUGGGCAUUAGAAUGGAGCGUUACUAGUGGGCCAUUUUUGGUAAGCAGAACUGGCGAUGCGGGAUGAACCGAACGCGAGGUUAAGGUGCCGGAAUGCACGCUCAUCAGACACCACAAAAGGUGUUAGUUCAUCUAGACAGCCG
rnacentral:ncRNA from 1 species